AAUGGCUUAAAAAGUGGUAAUUUCUUGGGAUCAGAAAGCUGAUUAAGGCAAGGCUGGGAGGAGUCAGCUUGCCUCUCUUCCACAGCGUCCGCUGGGGCAGUUCAACCCUGUCUGCGGGACCAAUCUCCAAGACGUGAGUUGGCACAGCCAUCAGUUCGUCUCCAUGGAUGUCUCCACGGGCAACCUGAGCUCCCACGUGGCAUGGUGAUGGUUCUGAAAGUGGGUGUUCCAGGAGACAGGAAGUGCCAGUUCCUUAAGGCCUGGGCCUGUGGGAGACAAGAGACACACAGCCACAGAGGACAAGGCCAUAUGAGAUGGAGGCAGAGACUGGAGAGAUGCGGCCACAAGCCAAGGAUGCGUGGGGCCACCAGGAGCUGGGGGAGAGGCCCCAUCAACGAACAAACGCAGACAACUCUUCCUGGAGUUUUGCAUUAAAGACAAGAAGCUGGGGGCACAGCGAGGGGGACAUGAGGUCAAGGCGCUGCUGCUUUGUUAGGUAGGGGAGAUUGAGCAUGUUUGUAUCCUGAUGGGAAUGGACAAGGAGCAGGAGCAUCUGAUGGCACAGCAACCAGGGGGCCACCCCUUAAGGACAGGUGGGCCGGCUUGCCUUGGAGCAUGGGUGCUUGCUCACAGGCUCAGGGCAAGGCACAGAUGCGGGAGGCACAGACGCGGCAGUGGGAGCAGCUGGGUCCAUCUUCUCCCAGCUCUGGGCACAGGUGGGAGGCACAGUGCGUGCUUUCCCUGCAGGCUUCCUGUGCUUCGCCCCGAACCAUCUCCCCAGGUCUGAGUUCCUCUGCUGGUCCAGGAGGGUCUCAGUGCGGUGGGACAAACUUGUUCCAUUGGUGGAUGGAGACACACCCAGUGUGGACAGAGGCUGCAAGCAUCGGAGGGCGUGUCCAUGCGGCAGUAUUGGUGUCAUGGCCAUAAGCUUGGCACUUCCUACAGACUCCGGCCUUGCAUUUUCAGCAGCUGGAGCUGUUCACAGCAUCCUUCUCACAGGAGUUUUGGGAGCACAACCAGGUGGGGUAUGCUUGAAAGCCUUAGAGUGAGGACCAGCACACCCACCCUCCUGGUGUCCCAUGCAAAGCUGCUGAAGGGGCUGCUGUGGCUGAAAUCUGAGCUCUGGGUGGUGCCUGCAGGAGCCCAAGCAGCUCCAGAGGGAGCCCCAUUCCACUUGACCCCUUUUCCUUAUGGCAGAUUCAGCUUCCCUGGGGUGAAAUCGAGGGGCAUUUCCCAGUUCUCUCCAGGAGUAUGAAAUUUCCCUCUUGUUUCUGCCCACCUGAGGGGCUGCACUUGGACCCUGCCAUGGGAAGAGGUCUGUUCCUCUCUGCCUCCUGGGGGACCCCCUCCUUGUGUGAGUCCCCUCUGAAGCCCUGCAGAACCUGGUCUGGUUCCUGAACAGUCCUGCCGAGGCCUGGCCUGUUGGACACAGAUGCUCAAAAUCUACUCAGAGCAUGCUGGCCCCUGUGGAGUGGUUCCUGUUCCUGGGGUGCUGAAGUGAAUGAGGGUGUUUCUCUGAUCCAUAAGAGCCUCCUGCCUGUUCAUCCAUCAACAGCCUCUGGGGACACCUUCGGCAGCAGGAAUCACUCGUGUUGGGUACUGAGUUUGAAUUUCUGUGCCCACCUCUGCGCUGGCACAAAGGGGCUGGCUAUGUGGAAGCAGAAUGUGGGGCCCUUGCUUUAAAGACCUCAGAGGCUGGUUGAAGGGAUAAACCUCACACCCCCAAAAUUGAGAGAAAACAUCAAGGGAGCUGCACCGCAGCACCACCUUGCUCUCUGGGCUUCAGCACCAGGGAGGCGGACAGCUCCAUGCACCGUGGCCGCCACCGCCCAUCCAGGACUCCAGCUCCCCGCAUCAUCGCUCUGCUUGGCUGUCGUAGGAGGAGAGCGGCUGCUGCUGUGCAUGGGUGCUCGGGGGCGGUGGGGGGUGGGGUGCAGAGGAGGCACCACCCUACCCGGGGCCAUCACCAACCAAUGGGGAUGGGAGCGGGUAGAUAAAUGCCCCAGCCUCCCCAGCGUCGGUGGACAGUUUGGAAAUGCAUUCUCCAUGGCUUCCCAGAGGGCCCCCAGCAGGCCUGAGCAGCAGCUCUUGUGAAACUGCCCUCCAUGGGCUGCUCUCUCUUCCUGUCUCACUGUGUGCUCCGUCCCUCACUUCAGCUUCCUGGUCUCACAUCCCAAACACACUACCUUCGUCCAAGUCCUUGUCUCCACCAGGGCUUACAUUUGGGGUGCCUAGAAAAGGAGAGAGCAUAUAAUCAAUGCCAGGGUGAGUGGGGGGACACCCAGAGCCAUGAGGUCCCAAGGAGGGGGCGAUGGCAGGGUGGCCCGUGAGGCAGGUGGUCUGGGCCCAAUCCCCAGCUCAGGAUGGACAGAAGGCAGGAGCAGCCUCGGUGGGGGCUGGUGACAGUGUGAGCUGGCCCAGCAGUGGGUGGGCUUGGCUCCAAGGGUGCCACAGGGACUGUGAAGCAGGCUGGAGAGGGUGGCGAGCGGGCCUCCAGUGGGAAAACCAGGCAUGGCACUGAGGCGGGCGGGUAAGUUCAGCCCUACACUCCUCCUCCCGGCCGGACUCUCACGUGGAUCUCUCCUUCUGGCUGUGCAGGUUGGAUCUAUGAACACGAGACACAGAAACACCAGCUGGAGGAGCCCAGGAGGCCCAGCAGCGGGAACCAUCGUAGUCCAUGGGCCACUGAGUGCCCGGACCAGGGCCCCGGGGCUUCCUGACAGCAGGAACAACAGGAAUCAUUCAAACCCUGGAGCCCAGAGGGCAGGACAGGAGCGGCCUUUUGUCCCCCGCGGGCAGGCCAGGGAGGUGGACAGGCCGGGAGCCUGAAGCCUGAGCAGCUGGAUGCUCGCUCAUUCUCCCGUGGUCACUGUGUUCCCGGAGCCCCAACAGGAGGCCAAUUGUCCCACGGGGCGGUGCCUGGUGGGUGUGGUGUCUUGGCGGCAGCCACUGCCUGGCUGUUCUCAGGAUCCCAAUCCCAGGUGAAGGCUGCAGUCCUCUUGCUGUGUGUGGACUAUUUAGCUCUGUGGGCGGCCACCUUGCCAUGGGGCCACAGCAGCCAUUCCAGAGGCUCCCCCAGGGCCCUCCUCGCCCAGGGUGGGGGUGCUCCCGGGUGUGGCCUGGCUGAGGAGUCUCACUCGCAGGAAAGGUGGCGUGUGACGGGCUGGAGCCGGCCUGCGAAGUCUGCCUGGUGGCCAUGGCUCAGGGGCCUGUGUCUCCCGGACGCCCCCAGCGGGGCCUCUCUUGAAGGGACUUUGUGCUCCUGCCAGGAGAAAACAGCCCUAACAGCUGCCUCCUGGGCCAUUUCCAAACAUUCGUGUGUCAGGCCAGAGAGCGCCAGUUCGUUGCCCUUUUGAGUGGUUCCAAACGUGUGGAGUUGGGGCCCUGGCAGCUUCGGAACACCAGCCCCCCUUCACCGAGGCGUUCGUCAUCACCAAGCCUCAGCCAGAGAUGUUCAACUGGAAAAACAAUCACGGACCCCCGUGGGGGAAGCAGCUUCUGGUCUGGGGACAGUCGUGAGCUCUGCAUGCAGCUGCCGGUGUCCCUUCUCGGUGCCUGGCGGGUAUCAGGGCUCACCCUUGGCCUGGCCACACCUACCGCCUCUCAGGCCCACACCUCUUCCUGGAAGACACCUGGAGGCUUCAACACCGGCUCACGCCCUUUCCUGGAAGAAACCUGGAGGCUCUGACGCCGGCCCACACUCCUUCCCGGAAGACACCUGCAGGCUCCGACACCAGCCCACACUCCUUCCCGAAGAAACCUGGAGGCUUGGACGCCGGCCCAUACCCAUUUUGGGACACCAGGGGCUUCAAUAUCUGUGGCAUCAGCUCCUCAGCUCUCUCUUCCCUCAGCAUCCCACUGACCCGAAAUUCCAGGAGAUCCCGAGAUGGGCCAAACACAAAACAAGAAAACAACAAAAACGCCCUCUCCAGAAAGUAGAGAGGAGGCUCGGAGUGAAGGUGUGAAGUGCUGUGCCCGGCACAAAGUUCAUCCGGACAGAGCGGCUCCUGCCCAUCUGAAGUUCCCAUUUUCCUACAGAAAUGAGUUCCGACAUGCACCGCACAGCUGCUCGCUCUCCGCUUUGCAAAGCAGGAACUCAUGAUGUCUGAUGAGAAUCCACUCUGCUCUGGUCUGAGCUGGGGCAAAUCUUCGUUUGUCCUCCGCCUGUCCAACCCAGCCCUCGCCUGCAGGGCAUCUCAGAGCCCAGCACCUUCCCUGACGCUCCGCUGAGCCCGGAGCCACUUGGAGCUCGGGAACAGCAGAGGGAGGGAGGCCACGGGGUCUCAGCACAGAACCAGCAAGUCCGAGGCUGGACAUCUGAGCAGCGGGCGGUUGACAGGGCCCAUGGGCAGACCCUGCGGGCAGAGGACCGGGGUCUCUGCCUCACCCGCUUCCACCGCCCUUGGGUGCACCUGGCCAAGGCCGUCAGCAAACCGAGCCAGGCCUGUGUCCUGGUUCCCUCAUGGGCUCACGGUCCUCCUGCCACCCUGCGAGAGCACCCCCGUGCAUGCUGCCUGCAGCUCCCAGCCGCGAACGGCAGAGGCCCAGUCCCGCCGUCACACCCUCGUCCCGCCUGGCUUUCAGCAACGUCACCUUUGCCUGGCAACAUUCAGGCGGGGCUGCUCAGGCCUGCUGAUUCCAUCAUUUAAAGACGCCCAUUUCUUCCAAGCCAGGGAUUUUAUGACGCUAAGGAUUAGAAGCUGU